rnacentral:lncRNA from 1 species
CCUGUUUCCUUGAGGGACUUGAGUAGGAAGAUGUCACUGGUGAGGUGUGACUUGCUUCAGCUGAUAAACCAGAAGAUCCAAGCCAGUAAGCAGCUGCAAUCCAGCCAGAAGUUUGUUGCUGUUUUGGAGUACAUUUUAGCCAUUGGGAACCAUCUAAAUGAGAAGGCUGGAAAAGAGGUGGCGAGAGGAUUUCGAUUGUCGUCUUUGGCCAAAUUACCUCUGCUGAGGGGUAAAGAGAGGACGUUCACUUUGCUUCACGCCCUUGUGGAACAGAUCCUCUUACAUGAGCCUGAUCUGGCCACAUUUUCUCAGGAGUUGACAGAAUUUGAAGCUGUUC